rnacentral:misc_RNA from 1 species
GUGACCGUCGGGAUAUUCUCCAUCGCCGUCAACCUUCUCGUCCUCGCGAUCCCCGUCUACCUUUUCAACAUGUCGGAUCGCGUGAUGACCAGCAGAAGCACCGACACACUUGUCAUGCUGACGAUGAUCGUCGUGGUGGCAAGCACACGUCCUGAUGGACAUGAUGCGCCGGAUUAUCCUCAUGCGCGUUGCGGUUGAAACCGAGGCGCGGUUGGGUGGUCCUGUUCUAAGCGCCGCGGCGAAGGCGGCACAGGGC